rnacentral:lncRNA from 1 species
CUUUUUCUAUACAUCGAGUCAGUGUUGCUAUGUGACCGUACUUACUGGUUUUAUUCAUAAAAUUCCAAGCGGCACCUGCCUUUUUACUCGAAGAUGAAUAAACCUGUCUUAAUUUUGUUAGUCUGGGCCUGCUCGCCCUCGAAGACUAAGUGCAAAAAGAGACGAGAGAGAGAGAUAGAGAUUCUGCUAAAAACUAAAUACUCUAUUACUUAGAAACAGAAAUUACAAGUGCACUCUUCCUC